rnacentral:rRNA from 1 species
AGAGGGUGCAAGCGUUAAUCCGAAUUACUGGGCGUAAAGGGUGCGUAGGUGGUUUGUUAAGUCAGGCGUGAAAUCCUCGGGCUCAACCUGGGAAUUGCGAUGGAGACUGCAAGGCUUGAAUCUGGCAGAGGGGGGUAGAAUUCCACGUGUAGCAGUGAAAUGCGUAGAGAUGUGGAGGAACACCGAUGGCGAAGGCAGCCCCCUGGGUCAAGAUUGACGCUCAUGCACGAAAGCGUGGGGAGCAAACAGGAUUAGAUACCCUGGUAGUCCACGCCCUAAACGAUGUCUACUAGUUGUCGGGUUUUAAUUAACUUGGUAACGCAGCUAACGCGUGAAGUAGACCGCCUGGGGAGUACGGUCGCAAGAUUA